UAGGCAAUUUUAUAUAAGUUCUCUAUAUGUGACCUGGUCUACGGAAAGGGGGCUUAGGUGUCAAAAAAAAAGGAGAACAAUUAAUGAGAUAACGAGAAACUGACGAUUAUUUUUAACAGCUUUUCCCAGAAAACUAGUUUUCGCACGUUAGCUCCCUUUUCGUAGACCAGGUCACAUAUAUGUAUGUAUGUAUAUAGUAUA